rfam:Camelus ferus unplaced genomic scaffold scaffold1413, whole genome shotgun sequence.
GGUCUGGCUCAGUGGUAGAGUGCAUGCUUAGCAGGCACGUGGUCCUGGAUUCAAUCCCCAGGACC